UUAAUUUUAAGGAAAUUUUGCUGUUUUUGGUUAUUAUCUUGAAUAUUAUUAUAGAUAGAGAUAAACUGUAAACAGCAAAAAUGUUCAGCUAAGUAAGAUCUACAAAUAAGUCAACAUGACCAAAAUGGUCUGUUGACCUCUUUAGGAGUUAUUGCCCUUUAUAGUCAAUUUUUAACCAUUUUUCGUAAAUCUUAGUUAUCUUUUACAAAAAAUCUUCUCCUCUGAAACUACUGUACCAAAUUAAACCAAACUUGGCCACAAUCAUCAUUGGGGUAUCUAGUUUAAAAAUUGUGUCCGGCGACCCGGCCAACCAAUCAAGAUGGCCGCCAUGGCUUAAAAUAGAACAUAGGGGUAAAAUGCAGUUUUUGCUUAUCACUCAAAAACCAAAGCAUUUAAAGCAAAUCUGACAUGUGGUAAAAUUGCUUAUCAGGUCAAGAUCUAUCUGCAACAACAAAAGAAAGAGAGUUUUUAACGACCUCAGCUGGCUAUACAACCCUUGCACAAUCAACUGAAUUUUGCAGAAAUCAUUAAUAGGAUAGAUUGCCCUUAUAUGAUAAUUUUUUAUUACCUUUUUGGUUUUUUUGGCAAAGUGGGGGGGGGGGGGGGGGUUGCACAACAACAAAACUACUUCACAACUUUCUCAUUACUUUGCAUUUCUUGUUAGAUAAAUUUUACAAAAAUUCUCCCCUGAAACAACUGUUGAAUUUAAACAAACUUGGUUUAAAUCACCACUAGGAUAUCCAGGGACCACUGUGUAUGAUGACCCUGCCUGCCCACAUGGCUGAAAUAAAACAUAGGUUUCAAAUGCACUUUUUAGUAUUAUAUCUCUGAAACUAAACGACAGUACAACAGUUGCAUUUAUCAUGCAACAAUUGUAAAUAAAAAUAUCAGGUGAGCGACACAGGGUCCUUGGACCCUCUAGUUUAUUUUUGCAU
rnacentral:lncRNA from 1 species